AACGCUCAGUUCCCUUUCCCAUCGGGUCACAACGCUGGUCUGGGUGGUCGUAAAAGGAGGAGAGGAAACAUUGAAGCUGCCUUGCAUGCUCUCGGAGCUCGGGCUAGUUUCAAAAAGGG
ensembl:snoRNA